GUGCUAGCUUCUGAAGCACAUAUGCUAAAAUUGAAAUAAUACAGAGGAGGUUAGCCUGGCCCCUGUGCAAAAAUGACACACAAAUUCAUGAAGCUUUCCAUAUUUUU
ensembl:snRNA U6 U6 spliceosomal RNA